rnacentral:rRNA from 1 species
UACGUAGGGCGCAAGCGUUGUCCGGAAUUAUUGGGCGUAACGAGCUCGUAGGCGGCUUGUCACGUCGGGUGUGAAAGCCCGGGGCUUAACCCCGGGUCUGCAUUCGAUACGGGCAGGCUAGAGUGUGGUAGGGGAGAUCGGAAUUCCUGGUGUAGCGGUGAAAUGCGCAGAUAUCAGGAGGAACACCGGUGGCGAAGGCGGAUCUCUGGGCCUGUACUGACGCUGAGGAACGAAAGCGUGGGGAGCGAACAGG